AGUGAACGCUGGCGGUAGGCCUAACACAUGCAAGUCGAACGGCAGCACAGUAAGAGCUUGCUCUUACGGGUGGCGAGUGGCGGACGGGUGAGAAAUACAUCGGAAUCUACUUUUUCGUGGGGGAUAACGUAGGGAAACUUACGCUAAUACCGCAUACGACCUACGGGUGAAAGCAGGGGAUCUUCGGACCUUGCGCGAUUGAAUGAGCCGAUGUCGGAUUAGCUAGUUGGCGGGGUAAAGGCCCACCAAGGCGACGAUCCGUAGCUGGUCUGAGAGGAUGAUCAGCCACACUGGAACUGAGACACGGUCCAGACUCCUACGGGAGGCAGCAGUGGGGAAUAUUGGACAAUGGGCACAAGCCUGAUCCAGCCAUACCGCGUGGGUGAAGAAGGCCUUCGGGUUGUAAAGCCCUUUUGUUGGGAAAGAAAAGCAGCAGGUUAAUACCCCGCUGUUCUGACGGUACCCAAAGAAUAAGCACCGGCUAACUUCGUG
rnacentral:rRNA from 1 species